AAACUAAUGCAAAGCAUCUCAAACUAGUAAUCUUACUUCGCAUGGAAGAUUUGAAAUAAUGGAUGAGAAUUCAAGACUAACCAGGGGACCUAAGCUCCGAAGGAUUCAAAAUAGUCUUCAUAGGUAACCUCCACAAACACCAAUAAUCACCAAAAAGAAUUUUGACUCCAGCAUAAACAAGAAAAUAUAUAUGAUGCAUUAGAAACCCAAGCUCAUCCACAAAUAUGUUGAUGAAACUUGCAAAAAUACAGCAUGUGACUACUGUACCAUGGCUGCCAUAUUUAAUUACUAUUUAAAACAGCAAUUUUGUUUGUGAAGUUUUCAAGGUAUAUAAUUUUGUGUCUUCAACAAAUCACUCCCACACAUAGGAAUUGCGAGUCAACCACACAAUCAGACAUUUUUCAGCAAAAACUAGGAAUAAAUAGCAUAAUACGAUCAAAUUUAGAUCAUUCAAAUUUCAUAGUCAUCCCUGUCAAUGCAACAAUCUAUUCAUUCACUAACAAACUGCAGUAAUCUAACCCAAAAUCAGAACAAGGCAGAUCAGCCACAAAUCCUAACAGAAAGCCACAAACAACUAAGAAGAUCCAGCCUAUGAAUAAAAAUUCUUACGAAUAGGUGCCAACAAGCGGGCUGAGAAGGAGCGUGGCGCUGAUCCAAUUCUCGGAGAUCUUGUGGGAGAUCUUGCCGGACAAAUCCUUCCAGAGGCCCGGCAUCACCUUCUGCUGAAACGGCGACAGGGCGUACGUCACCGACUUCAUCUUCACCGGUAUUUUCCCCAUAUUGUCUCACUCUAGAUAUCUGCAGAGGUAAUUAGGGUUUGAAGAAGUUUAUGGUCAAUUGAAGAAAAUGGAAUGGUGAUUAAAAAAAAAAAACUCCGUGAGAUCAUUUGGGCUGUAAUGGGCCUUAAUCACUGGGUUUUGAGUUCUGGACUGCGGUGUCGGGGGUAAUGGGUGAUUGCAGUUAAAAGCUCCUUGUUCUUCGAAUCUAGACCGGAUCUUCCCAAGCUCGUAGCUUUAUUUUACUUUUUCUAACCUCGGGUGAUCAAACUAUUUGAAACUAGUUUACCACCCACGCAUAUUGCGUGGGGAUCAUUUUAUUUUCAUGAUGCUAAAUAAAUAUGUAGAUAUAAUAAGGGUUAAUUACGUAAAAAAUCAUGAACUUUGGGUCGAUUUCUAAAUUUGCCAUGAACUUUUUUUUUAUCAAAUUUUUCUUGAACUUAACCAACUGAUCAACCGCCUCUGGAUGGCAAGAAUCCAAAAUCGAGAGCGGAGAGACACAAACACAGACCGGAAAUAGAAUAGCGACCCGGAAGGAACAAAACGAAAUCAUUUAACGGGGAAAAACAAUGUAGUUAAAACUCAAAUUAUAGCCACCGUUUCUCCUCUCUGAACUCCGGCGAAGAGCCGCCCAUCGGACCGCCCCUGCCCUCAGUUUUGCAGAGCCCUAGUUUCCCAAAUCUCUCAUUCCUUAAUCUCGCCAGAGCGAUGAAAGGCGGCGCGAGGUCGGGUGGUGGCGCCGCGUGAAAGGGGGCGCAAACCCUAGUGAGGUGUGAGGUCGGCGGNUGCCAUAUAUAACAUAGAAUGAGGAAGCCGGGUAGCGGGCGAAAUGAGUGGACUGAGAAGCCAGUGUUUGACUCUUUUGUUUAUUUUUCCUGCCGACGUUUUACUUUUGUCUAAGUGUGCUUCAAAUUCCCAUGUUCCCUGUUAAAUGCUGUGACAAUUGUUCUGUAAGCAUUCAGGUAUUUGGUGAUGAAAAGCCAAUUCAACCAGCCUCCAUCUUAGCAAAACUAAAUUCAACUCCACUUUCGAAUCUAUCACAAAAUAAGAGACAAUGAAGGCCUACUCAAUUGAUAAGACACUUAUCUUCCUAAGUUCAUCCACUAUGUGAGGGUUCGAGUCAUCCCAGGAGAAUGGAGAGUCAUUAUUGAUCCUCUAUUGAGAGAGGGGAAAAAAAUCUAUCACAAAAUAAGAGAACCAAAAACUAAAGCAAAGCAUCUCAAACUAGUAAUCUUACUUCGCAUGGAAGAUUUGAAAUAAUGGAUGAGAAUUCAAGACUAACCAGGGGACCUAAGCUCCGAAGGAUUCAAAAUAGUGUUCAUAGGUAACCUCCACAAACACCAAUAAUCACCAAAAACGGAAUUUUGACUCCAGCAUAAACAAGAAAAUAUAUAUGAUGCAUUAGAAACCCAAGCUCAUCCACAAAUAUGUUGAUGAAACUUG
rnacentral:lncRNA from 1 species